rnacentral:tRNA from 1 species
CGGGGCGUAGCGCAGCCUGGUAGCGCACCUGCCUUGGGCGCAGGGGGCCGUGAGUUCAAAUCUCGCCGCCCCGACCA